AAUUCAUUUUUGUGCUUUACAUUUUUUUUCCUUUACAUUUGAAUCUCUCUUGGUAUAACUUUGUUGAAGUUUAAGGUAUUUUAAAGAUGAGUAACAGUGAUGAAGACCAAUGGAAUGAUGACCAUGAUGAUGAAGCUACUGACGAUGAAGGCAGCAAACCCAACAAAAUAAUAAUAUGCUCUUAGCUACGGCGGCUACAGUUGCAGCGACAUAUGUAACAAAUUAUUUGAUAAAAAAACCAUGUAGGACAUCUUGUUUAACAGGAGGGAUGUGGAUGGUAGAAUUACAAGAAGGGAAUCAGACAAGAAUAUUUAAAAAUUUUCGAAUGGAAAGAGAGGUAUUUUAUCAAUUGUGUAAUUUGUUACAAACAAAUUAUGGCCUUCAAACUGGACGACAAGUCUCGGUUCAAGAGCAAGUUGCAAUAUUUUUGUUUAUUGUUGGCGGUGACAUUCGAAACAGAAAUGUCCAAGAAAGAUUUCAACAUUCCGGUGAGACUAUUUCAAAAUAUUUCAAGAAGGUGUUAAAGGCUAUUAUAAUGAUGUCCAUUGAUUGGGUAAGACCUCAACCAACUAAUGGUGUGCAUCCAUAUAUCCGACGCAACCGCAAAUAUUAUCCUCAUUUCAAGGAUUGUAUUGGAGCAAUUGACGAAACAUACAUCAAAGCAUAUAUAUCUCCAGAUAAGCAAGCUUGUCUAAUAGGUAGAAAGGGAUAUGCGACUCAAAACAUAAUGGCCGCAUGUGACUUUGAUAUGUGUUUCACAUUUUGCUUACCAGGAUGGGAAGGAAGUGCACACGAUACUCAGAUCUUCUUAGAUGCAAUUAGGAAUCCUAGUUUUAAUUUUCCAAAACCACAAGGAAGUAACUGUUUUAUAUUUGAUUGCUACAAUAGAUGCACCACACUCACAUCUUCAUAUUUAUUUUUAUAUUUAUAAUUGGUUACUUAAAUUUCAUUUUGGAAUUUUAAAAUAGAUGAGUUUUACUUGGUGGAUGCUGGUUAUCCAAACAUGAAAGGAUAUCUUACACCUUACAAAUGAGAGAGAUACCAUCUAGCUCAAUUUGAACAUGGUCAACCCCCCCAAAAUGCACAAGAAAAAUUCAACCAAGCACAUUCAUCACUUAGAAGUGUAAUAGAAAGAACGUUCGGGGUUUGGAAAGCAAGAUGGCCGAUGAUAAAGGAUAUCCCACCUAGCUACAAGUGGCCGACCCAAGUCAAACUUGUUUGUGCAACAAUGGCAAUUCAUAAUUUCAUCCGACGAAGUAAGCUCUGCGAUAUUGCAUUUGACUCUUAUGAUAGAUUCACGGAUUAUGUGCCUAAUGAAGAGGAAGGAUCUUCGUCUCAACAAGCGCGCCAUGGAAAUGAUGUUGCAUGUGAUGUCAACGAGAUGGAAGUGAGGAGACAUAAUAUUUGUAUGUCAAUUUGCAGACGAAAUUAGAAGCUCUAUAAAUAUCUAUGAAGUUUUAUUUUUCUUGCCUUAAUAGUAAUUUAUUGU